GACGAACGCUGGCGGCGUGCUUAACACAUGCAGGUCGAACGGAAAGGCCCUGCUUUUGUGGGGUGCUCGAGUGGCGAACGGGUGAGUAACACGUGAGUAACCUGCCCUUGACUUUGGGAUAACUUCAGGAAACUGGGGCUAAUACCGGAUAGGAGCUCCUGCUGCAUGGUGGGGGUUGGAAAGUUUCGGCGGUUGGGGAUGGACUCGCGGCUUAUCAGCUUGUUGGUGGGGUAGUGGCUUACCAAGGCUUUGACGGGUAGCCGGCCUGAGAGGGUGACCGGCCACAUUGGGACUGAGCUACGGCCCAGACUCCUACGGGAGGCAGCAGUGGGGAAUAUUGCACAAUGGGCGGAAGCCUGAUGCAGCAACGCCGCGUGCGGGAUGACGGCCUUCGGGUUGUAAACCGCUUUCGCCUGUGACGAAGCGUGAGUGACGGUAAUGGGUAAAGAAGCACCGGCUAACUACGUG
rnacentral:rRNA from 1 species